rnacentral:rRNA from 1 species
AUGGGCCGGUCCCGCGGGGUGCCCAAUUCCGGCGACGACGACACCAACCACAGGUCGAAGCGGAGGAGGGUCGCCUCGACCGGGGAUGCGUCGGACUCGCUCUCCGCGGCGUGCGGGGGAGCCGGCGACGGGAAGAAGGCACUGUACCACUGCAACUACUGCAACAAGGACCUGUCUGGGAAGAUCCGGUUCAAGUGCUCCAAGUGCCCCGACUUUGACCUCUGCGUCGAGUGCUUCUCCGUCGGAGCCGAGGUCACUCCGCACCGGAGCAACCACCCCUACAGGGUCAUGGACAACCUAUCUUUUCCACUCAUUUGUCCAGAUUGGAAUGCGGAUGAGGAAAUCCUUCUUCUAGAGGGAAUUGAAAUGUAUGGUCUGGGAAACUGGGCUGAAGUUGCGGAGCAUGUUGGUACCAAGAGCAAGGCACAGUGCAUCGAGCAUUAUACUACUGCAUAUAUGAACUCACCUUGUUAUCCCCUUCCGGACAUGUCUCAUGUUAAUGGCAAGAAUAGGAAGGAACUUCUUGCCAUGGCUAAAGUACAGGGUGAGAGUAAAAAAGGAAUUCCACUGUUAUCAGGGGAUUUGACACCUAAGGCAGAGUCACCAUUUUCUCCCUCCAGGAUCAAGAUGGAAGAUGCACUUGGAGAAGGUCCAGCCAGUCGAUCACCUUCGCACAUACCUGGUGGUGCAAAUAAGAAAGCUUCAACUGUUGGGCAUUUUAAAGAUAGUGCUAAUCUAUCUAAAGUCGAAGAUGGUCAUAUGGAUAGAAGUAUUGGCGUGAAAAAACCCAGAUAUUCUGCAGAUGAGGGGCCUUCUUUAACUGAAUUGAGUGGGUACAAUGCAAAGAGACACGAGUUUGACCCAGAGUAUGAUAAUGAUGCUGAACAAGCCCUCGCAGAGAUGGAAUUUAAAGAAACUGAUUCAGAAACUGAUCGUGAACUGAAGCUACGUGUGUUGCGUAUUUACUUGUCAAGGCUUGAUGAAAGAAAAAGGAGAAAAGAGUUCAUAUUGGAAAGAAAUUUACUAUAUCCUAAUCCUUUGGAGAAGGAUCUAACUAAUGAAGACAAGGAAGUUUACCAUCGGUACAAGGUUUUCAUGCGUUUCCUUUCCAAGGAGGAACAUGAAGCCCUUGUUAGGAGUGUUAUUGAAGAGCGAAAAAUCCGGAGGAGGAUUCAAGAGCUUCAGGAAUGUCGUUCAGCUGGAUGCCGUACGCUGGCUGAAGCCAAGAUACAUAUAGAGCAAAAGAGGAGAAAGGAGUAUGAGGCGAAUGCUCUGAAAGCCAAGGAAAGUGGCCAGCUUAUUUCAAAUAGUAAAUCAGGACACAAAACAAACCGUCCUAUGAAACUCGAGACUGAUGGGAGUUUGGAUCUUAAGAAAGGCAGUGCCAUUUUGGAUGCUGGUGGCAGGGAUUCUCCAAAAACCACAGGACCUACAAGCGCUAAGCAAUGGGAUGAUUGGGACAUUGUUGGUCUUCCUGGGGCAGAGCUAUUAAGCUCCAGUGAAAAACUUCUGUGCUGUCAGAACAGAUUGCUACCUAGUCAUUAUCUGAGAAUGCAGGAGGUGCUGAUGCAGGAGAUGUUCAAGGGCAAUGUCGUCAAGAAGGAAGAUGCCCAUGUAUUGUUUAAAGUCGAUCCUGCCAAAGUCGAUACGGUUUAUGAUAUGGUGAUGAAAAAGCUGGGCAACAACGAGGAGGCUCCGAUGGUUUAG